CCUGCCGGACCUGACUGCUAUCGGAUUGAUACUAAGCCAUGCGAGUCUUUGUAGUAAUACAAGGCAGACGGCUCAGUAACACGUAGUCAACCUACCCUAUGGACAAGAAUAAUCUCGGGAAACUGGGCAUAAUUCUUGAUAGAUCAUAAUGCCUGGAAUGGUUUAUGGUUAAAAUGAUUCGUCGCCAUAGGAUGGGACUGCGGCCUAUCAGCUUGUUGGUGAGGUAAUGGCCCACCAAGGCGAUUACAGGUACGGGCUCUGAGAGGAGAAGCCCGGAGAUGGGUACUGAGACACGGACCCAGGCCCUAUGGGGCGCAGCAGGCGAGAAAACUUUGCAAUGUGCGCAAGCACGACAAGGUUAAUCCGAGUGAUUCCUGCUAAAGGAAUCUUUUGUUAGUUGUAAAACCACUUAUGAAUAAGGGGUGGGCAAGUUCUGGUGUCAGCCGCCGCGGUAAAACCAGCACCUCAAGUGGUCAGGAGGAUUAUUGGGCCUAAAGCAUCCGUAGCCUGCUUUGUAAGUUUUCGGUUAAAUCCAUCAGCUCAACUGAUGGGCCGCCGAAAAAACUGCAAAGCUAGGGAGUGGGAGAGGUAGACGGUACUCGAUAGGAAGGGGUAAAAUCCUUUGAUCUAUUGAUGACCCCCUGUGGCGAAGGCGGUCUACCAGAACACGUUCGACGGUGAGGGAUGAAAGCUGGGGGAGCAAACCGGAUUAGAUACCCGGGUAGUCCCAGCUGUAAACGAUGCAGACUCGGUGAUGCCCUGGCUUGUGGCCAGUGCAGUGCCGCAGGGAAGCCGUUAAGUUUGCCGCCUGGGAAGUACGUACGCAAGUAUGAAACUUAAAGGAAUUGGCGGGGGAGCACCACAAGGGGUGAAGCCUGCGGUUCAAU
rnacentral:rRNA from 1 species